rnacentral:rRNA from 1 species
AGGAGUGUCUCACACAAUGGAACUGAAAAUACGGUCCAAACUCCUACGGGAGGCAGCAGCGAGGAAUAUUGGGCAAUGGGGGGAAGCCCGACCCAGCAACGCCGCGUGAGCGAAGAAGGCUUUCGGGUUGUAAACCUCUUUUGGAGGGGAAGAAAGAGGAGACGGUACCGUAAGAAGAAGUCCAAGCAAUCUACGUCCCAGCAGCCGCGGAAACACGUAGGGGGAGAGUGUUGUCCGGAAAUUCUGGGUGUAAAGGGCGCGCACGCUUCUAUAAGAGUCUGCUGAGAAAUGUUCGGGCUCAGCCGGUGCCUUGCGCAAUAUACUGCAUAGCUGGGGUGGUGGAGAGGGAAGUAGAAUUCGCCGGUGUAGCGGUGAAAUGUAGUAGAUAUGGGGAGGCACCCCUGUGGCGAAGGCGGCUUUCUGCCCAGUUACUCACUCUCACGCGCGAGAGCGGGGGUAGAGAACAAGAUUAGAUACCCGAGGUAGUCCCAACCGUAAACGAUGAAUGCUAGGUGAGGGUGUCGCAGGGCAUCUGUCCCGCAGCUAACGCGAUAAGCAUUCCGCCUGGGGAGUACGGUCGCAAGAUUGAAACUCAAAGGAAUUGACGGGGGCCCGCACAAGCGGUGGAGCACGUGGUUUAAUUCGAUGCAAACCGAAGAACCUUACCUGGGUUUGACAUGUACGUAUUACUGAGGUGAAAGCCGAGGGACCUGCUCUUCGGAGUGGGAGCGUAGACAGGUGCUGCAUGGCUGUCGUCAGCUCGUGUCGUGAGAUGUUGGGUUAAGUCCCGCAACGAGCGCAACCCUUGCAUUCAGUUGCCAACGGUGAGUCCGGGCACUCUGGAUGGACUGCCGGCGACAAGCCGGAGGAAGGUGGGGAUGACGUCAAGUCAUCAUGGCCCUUAUGUUCAUGGCGACUCACGUGCUACAAUGGCCGGCACAGCGGGAAGAGAAGGGGCGACCGUGAUCGGAUCCUUUAAAGCCGGUCCCAGUUGGGAUUGCAGUCUGCAACUCGAUAGCAAGAAGUUGGAAUAGUUAGUAAUCGUGGAUCAGCCAAGCGGCGGUGAAUAAGUUCUCGGCCUGAGCACACACCGCCCUUCA